UACGGAGGGUGCAAGCGUUAUCCGGAUUCACUGGGUUUAAAGGGUGCGUAGGCGGGUUGGUAAGUCAGUGGUGAAAUCUUCAAGCUUAACUUGGAAACUGCCGUUGAUACUAUCAAUCUUGAAUAUUGUGGAGGUAAGCGGAAUAUGUCAUGUAGCGGUGAAAUGCUUAGAUAUGACAUAGAACACCAAUUGCGAAGGCAGCUCGCUACACGAAUAUUGACUCUGAGGCACGAAAGCGUGGGGAUCAAACAGG
rnacentral:rRNA from 1 species